rnacentral:rRNA from 1 species
CGGAGGGUGCAAGCGUUAUCCGGAUUCACUGGGUUUAAAGGGUGCGUAGGGUGGGUUGGUAAGUCAGUGGUGAAAUCUCCAGGCUUAACUUGGAAACUGCCAUUGAUACUAUCAAUCUUGAAUACCGUGGAGGUCAGCGGAAUAUGUCAUGUAGCGGUGAAAUGCUUAGAUAUGACAUAGAACACCAAUUGCGAAGGCAGCUGGCUACACGAAUAUUGACACUGAUGCACGAAAGCGUGGGGAUCAAACAGGAUUAGAUACCCUGGUAGUCCACGCCCUAAACGAUGGAUACUCGACAUACGCGAUAUACAGUGUGUGUCUGAGCGAAAGCAUUAAGUAUCCCACCUGGGAAGUACGAUCGCAAGAUUG